GGGGGAAGAGCGGGCGGGCGCCGGGGGCGAGGGCCGGAGGAGGGGGCCCGGGGCGCGCGGGGCGCGCGGGGCGGCGGGUAGCUAGGAGACCCGCACGCCGCUGAUACUUGAAGCGCUGCCCGGAGGAGCUGACGGCGGCCGCUCCCUGUGUCCCUGCUCGGGACUCGGACCUCGCGCGCAAGGGAGGAGAAGCAGGGCCAGGACCUUUAGGGUUGGGUCUUAACCAACUCAGAGGAAGAGCAGUGGAGCGUGGGAUCCUCCAUCUCUCAUGUGAGCAUUUCUUUGGCUCUUUGAUUUCUUAUGGUCUCUUCCCCUCCCUCGACUCCUCCCCAUUUUUCCUUCAUACAAAAAAAAAAAAUUUUUUUUUAAAAGAUUUUGUUUAUUUAUUUGACAGAGAGACACAGUGAGAGAAGGAACGCAAGCAGGGGGAGUGGCAGAGGGAGAAGCAGGCUUCCCGCGGAGCAGGGAGCCUGAUGCGGGACUCGAUCCCAGGACCCCGGGAUCACGACCCGAGCCGAAGGCAGAUGCCCAAUGACUGAGCCACCCAGGCGCCCCCUCAAAAAAUUUU
rnacentral:lncRNA from 1 species